rnacentral:rRNA from 1 species
AGUGGAUGGGGAGCAACCUAGUUGUGCGUGUGUAAAGGUAGUGCCAAGAAAAGCGGUGAUCAUGAUGAAAAUCAAUUCCCAGUACCCGAAACCGACACAGGUGGGCAAGUAGAGAAUACUAAGGGGCGCGAGGUAACUCUCUCCAAGGAACUCGGCAAAAUGACCCCGUAACUUAGGGAGAAGGGGUGCCACCGAGAGGUGGUCGCAGUGAAGAGGCCCAGGCGACUGUUUAGCAAAAACAUAGGUCUCUGCAAACUCGAAAGAGGAGGUAUAGGGGCUGACGCCUGCCCAGUGCCGGAAGGUUAAAGAAGUUGGUCAGUCUUAGGAUGAAGCUAGCGACUGAAGCCCCGGUGAACGGCGGCCGUAACUAUAACGGUCCUAAGGUAGCGAAAUUCCUUGUCGGGUAAGUUCCGACCCGCACGAAAGGCGUAACGAUCUGGGCGCUGUCUCGGAGAGAGGCUCGGCGAAAUAGGAUUGUCUGUGAAGAUACGGACUACCUGCAUUUGGACAGAAAGACCCUAUGAAGCUUUACUAUAGCUUGGAAUUGUGUUCGGGCUUCCUGUGCGCAGGAUAGGUGGGAGGCGAAGAAGGUAUUCUUGUGGGGAUACUGGAGCCAACGGUGAGAUACCACUCUCAGGAGGCUAGAAUUCUAACUUAAUUAAGGACAGUUUCAGGUGGGUAGUUUGACUGGGGCGGUCGCCUCCAAAAAGGUAACGGAGGCGUACAAAGGUUCCCUCAGACUGGUUGGAAAUCAGUCGCAGAGUGCAAAGGCAGAAGGGAGCUUGACUGCGAGAAGUACAGUUCGAGCAGGGUGGAAACACGGUCUUAGUGAUCCGACGGUGCUGUGUGGAAGGGCCGUCGCUCAACGGAUAAAAGUUACUCUAGGAUAACAGGCUGAUCUCCCCCAAGAGUUCACAUCGACGGGGAGGUUUGGCACCUCGAUGUCGGCUCAUCGCAACCUGGGGCGGAAGUACGUCCCAAGGGUUGGGCUGUUCGCCCAUUAAAGCGGUACGUGAGCUGGGUUCAGAACGUCGUGAGACAGUUCGGUCCAUAUCCGAUGUAGGCGUGAGAAUAUUGAGAGGAGCCUUCCUUAGUACGAGAGGACCGGGAAGGACGCACCGCUGGUGUACCUGUUAUGAUGCCAAUUGUAAACGCAGGGUAGCCAAGUGCGGAGAGGAUAACCGCUGAAAGCAUCUAAGUGGGAAGCCCACCUCAAGAUGAGUAUUCUGGUGUAAGGUCACGGGAAGACGACCCGUAAAUAGGCACGAGGUGGAAGUGCAGAGAUGUAUGAAGCCGAAGUGUACUAAUAGACCGUCGGCUUGACC